UUUGCUUGAUAUUCAAAUACCGUAAUGUUGAAACAGAUGCACGGGUGCACACAAGAAGGCAGUUUUAUUUGUUAAGUCUGCAUAUAUUAUUCCUAACUGACUUGUUUAUCUGAAAUUUAAUUUGAUAUCAGAACCGGCCAGUUAACUGGACUUGAUUAAACCCAAAUUGAACCAAAAUCAUACAAACCCCAAAUUUAAAUUAUAAAAAUUGAAAUUUAAUGUGAUAUCAAAACAGGCCGAUUAACUGAG
rnacentral:lncRNA from 1 species